GUCCUACGGGGCGUAGCAGUGAGGAAUAUUGGUCAAUGGGCGCUAGCCUGAACCAGCCAAGUAGCGUGAAGGAUGACUGCCCUAUGGGUUGUAAACUUCUUUUAUAUGGGAAUAAAGUGCAGUAUGUAUACUGCUUUGCAUGUACCUUAUGAAUAAGGAUCGGCUAACUCCGUGCCAGCAGCCGCGGUAAUACGGAGGAUGCGAGCGUUAUCCGGAUUUAUUGGGUUUAAAGGGUGCGUAGGCGGGCUUUUAAGUCAGCGGUAAAAAUUCGGGGCUCAACCCCGUCCGGCCGUUGAAACUGGGGG
rnacentral:rRNA from 1 species